AGAACUUCAUCUAAGGUCGGUCUGUGAUGCCAGAGGGGAUAUGUGGUCGCUGGGGUGCUUUCUCUAUGAACUGUGCAAGUUAGAACCAGCCUUUAGGAAUGCCUCCGAGAUGCUGAGAUUCAUACAGAAGCGUGGAACUUAAGACCGCUGCCUAGCUCAUACUCGGGCAAAACAAAUGACCUCAUCAACGCCGUCCUCCAAGCCUACCCAAACGAGCGUCCUACUGCUGCAAGAGUCAAGAAAAUCCUGGAGGAUCUUCAGCGGGAUCCUGCGACCCGAGAAUGGUUCCCCCUGAAGCAAAGAGACACGUUCUGGAGUCUCCCUGUGGCAAAGGGCGCGUUGGAAAUGUUCCCAAGGACCUAAGAAAAGGGCGCGUCGGCAAUGUUCUCAAUAAAGGUAAAAUCCGUCAGAGGCGUCCUGGUCACACACUGUCGCCUCAGGAAGUCGGAAAGCGGCUGAUGGUGAUCUUGGGGUCUCCGUUGCCGCCUGGACAGUGUUGGUAUUCAAUGGUACGAAAACUGACGGCCCAGGCCGAUGCGGUGUCUGAAAAUGUGGAAUUGUUUAUUUUAACUGAUGUGACAUUUUAAUUUAAUUUAACAGCGAGCUUUUAGUGAAAUAUUAUUAGAACAUAAUUUGUGCGAUACUUUUAAGUUUUGAACUGAAACCAUAUCACUCCCAUAUUAAAUAAUUUAAGUUGAUUGAUUUAGGUUUGAUUAUGUAGAACAAAAAACUGCCAGUUUCAGGUGUAACUAUUGUAUAUGAAGGGAACUGGCGUAAAUGCUUUAUUAUAUUAAUUUUAUUAAUACU